rnacentral:sRNA from 1 species
UCCCAUCCAAGUACUAACCAGGCCCAACCCUGCUUAGCUUCUAAGAUCAGAUGAGAUUGGGCGC